GUUAUUUUUUACUUAUUUUUAUAUGCCGAGCAUAAGAUAUACACAUAGAAAUUUGAAAUACGAAUUAUAUAAACUAGAAUUAAAAUCAAACUGUAAAUUAGCUUACAAAGUAAUCCAACUUAGAGUUCAUAACGGAUGCAAGUAAAGGAACAUUCGCAUUGCCGUCAGUCGAUUCGCCCUCCGAUGUGGACGUAGUACAAGGCUUCGAAUCAUUAUACUGUGAGCUGCGUCGCCGCUUCAAUAUUUUUCCUGGAGACGGCGGCGAUGGUGGAGGGCCCAGAAGAGCUGCCGGAACUAACCAGAUGGCGGAAAUUGUAGUGUACCCAAUCGCGGGGACACCACGUUAAGGACAGGUUCGCCUUCAACUUUACCUUCAAGGUGGAUGCACAGAUACAAUAUACUUAUACACCUCUCCUUUCAAAAUAAUCAACGAGUCGAGGGCAUGCAAUAAAUUUAUACAUCGAUAUAA
rnacentral:sRNA from 1 species